rnacentral:rRNA from 1 species
GACGAACGCUGGCGGCGUGCUUAACACAUGCAAGUCGUACGGUAAGGCCCUUUCGGGGGUACACGAGUGGCGAACGGGUGAGUAACACGUGAGUAACCUGCCCACAACUUUGGGAUAACGCUAGGAAACUGGUGCUAAUACUGGAUAUGUGCCCCUGCUGCAUGGUGGGGGUUGGAAAGCUCCGGCGGUUGUGGAUGGACUCGCGGCCUAUCAGCUUGUUGGUGGGGUAGUGGCCUACCAAGGCGGCGACGGGUAGCCGGCCUGAGAGGGUGACCGGCCACAUUGGGACUGAGAUACGGCCCAGACUCCUACGGGAGGCAGCAGUGGGGAAUAUUGCACAAUGGGCGCAAGCCGGAUGCAGCAACGCCGCGUGCGGGAUGACGGCCUUCGGGUUGUAAACCGCUUUCAGCAGGGACGAAGCUUUUUGUGACGGUACCUGCAGAAGAAGCACCGGCUAACUACGUG